UGCCAGCCGCCGCGGUAAUACGGAGGGUGCAAGCGUUGUUCGGAAUUAUUGGGCGUAAAGCGCGCGUAGGCGGAUUAGUAAGUUAGGGGUGAAAUCCCGGGGCUCAACCCCGGAACUGCCCUUGAUACUGGUAGUCUUGAGUUCGAGAGAGGUGAGUGGAAUUCCGAGUGUAGAGGUGAAAUUCGUAGGUAUUCGGAGGAACACCAGUGGCGAAGGCGACCACCUGGUACAGUAUUGACGCUGAGAUGCGAAAGCGUGGGGAGCAAACAGGAUUAGAUA
rnacentral:rRNA from 1 species